UGGAAAGAAAACGUCUCCGCACGCAACGCCCACAAUGUCAUUUGGAUUUGGAUUGCUUUCCCCACCCCACCUCCGUCUCUUGCCGACCUCCGCGACUCCACCUGAGAGGAGAGGAGAGGAGAGGAGAGCAAGCAACCGCCCCCGUCCCCUCCCUCCUCGCUGGGAAGAUGGAGCCUGGCCAGAGCGGUACUGAGCAGACCUCUCCACGCGGGACUGAUUGGGAAGUCGUGCAACUGACUGCAUCAGCAUACGCGGCCGCGCCUGCUCCGAGGAGACCUGAACCUUCCGAGGAAUCCGAAGCUAAGAAAUAUGGCGCAAAAGGGGACGAUUUAGCCGCUGGGCUACUCAUGUCUGGCCACUUCUCGGUGUCUCAGAGUGAAGUUGAAAGCCUCCUUGUAGGCGCUGACAGCAAAGAACCUCCCAAGGAGCUUAGCAGCCCAGAUGCAGUUUCCAAUGAGGGGGAUGGUGAGAAAUACCAAGAAACCUGCAAGCAUAAGCUGGAGGAUGACGUCCCCAGCAUUCCAUCCUUCGACAAAGGGAAGGAUGUUUCCUUGGGUGAUAUGGCGUUUGAUGAUGGCAAGGCAUUGAAAGGCAUGAGUUUGGUCGGGGAAGAACCGGUUGGGUUCUCGUCGCCUAUUUACAGCUCAAUUGAGGCUGAAAAUGAGUUAAGUUGGUCAGCUACAGAGAGUAGGAAUGAUAAGAAAACUGAGGAGCCUACUCUGCAUAACUUGAGCCCCAUAACCGGUUCAUCAAAGGUUGUUCCAUCUGAUGAGCAGAGCGAACCUGCUGGUUCAGGCCCACGUGAAGCAUGGUGGAAGCAGCAGCUUUUGUCCCUGUACAAGAAUGCAAAGGAAAGUAAUAAUUUCUGGCCUAUUGUCGCGACCGCUGCUGCCUUGGUGGGCCUGGCAUAUUUUGGGCGGCGCUGGCAUAAGGGCAAGCUGCAGUUUCAGCUGGUCAAAGUACCGCCUUCUAGCAACAAGGAGUUGCACUUGCCAGCAAUGAGAAUUUCACUACAAAUGGGCAUCUUGCAUGCUGCAGCUCCAGAAUUUUGGAAUGUGUGGAUUGUCUGAACUCUGAAGUCCUGCCUUAUCUGUUUACUAGCAAGCUCGAGUAUCUGUUUACUGGCAUGCUAGUGUUUUGUGCCAUGAAAAUCAGUGAUGCUGUUGGUCCAUUAAACCGUAUCAAGGACAUUCUUGUUGCUGGCAGCCACCCAAGUCAGGGUAUCCAUGGGCAUGCCCGUGCAAGCUGAAUGUCAUCAGUCUGUGAUCCCAUCAGCAUCCUGAAUCCAUAAUGUAUCGCUUGAGAAUCGGCUCAAAAUGAAGACAAUCCAUAGGGCAAAACUGGAGCAAUGGUCCAAGGAUUGAGGAUGUUUAUGCAAACGCAAGUAUGUUUGGUGGCUAUGUAAAUUCCAAAAGUCCUUUUGGGUAUGUAAAUAUAUGAGUUUAGUGUGAUUGCUUUUCUUUUGGUCAUCUCAUGGAACCUCUGCUGGUUUCGUUGUUGCUAUCAACUACUGUACCCACCGUAUAACUGUCCGGUUCGCUCAUGCAUGCAUAUAUGAUAUGAAUAUAUGAUGGGGGCAUGGUAUGAGUGAAUUUUAUUUCACCUUUA